rnacentral:rRNA from 1 species
GACGAACGCUGGCGGCGUGGAUAAGACAUGCAAGUCGGACGAGAUUUUCGGUUGUAGCAAUACGAUGGAAAGUCUAGUGGCGAACGGGUGCUUAACACGUGGGCAACCUGCCGAGAAGUGGGGGAUAGCUCGCCGAAAGGCGAAUUAAUACCGCAUGUGAUCAGGAGAGACAUCUCUUCGAAAUUAAAGUCGGGGCAACCUGACGCUUCUUGUGGGGCCCGCGGCCUAUCAGCUAGUUGGUGAGGUAACGGCUCACCAAGGCUCUGACGGGUAGCUGGUCUGAGAGGACGACCAGCCACACUGGGACUGAGACACGGCCCAGACACCUACGGGUGGCAGCAGUCGAGAAUUUUUGACAAUGGGGGAAACCCUGAUCGAGCGACGCCGCGUGGAGGAUGAAGGUCUUCGGAUUGUAAACUCCUGUCAUUGGGGAACAAUGCGUGACGGUUAACUGCCGUUGCGUUGAUAGUACCCGAAGAGGAAGAGACGGCUAACUCUGUGCCAGCAGCCGCCGUAACAC